rnacentral:rRNA from 1 species
UACGGGGGGGGCAAGCGUUGUUCGGAAUUACUGGGCGUAAAGGGCUCGUAGGCGGCCAACUAAGUCAGACGUGAAAUCCCCAGGCUUAACCUGGGAACUGCGUCUGAUACUGGAUGGCUUGAGAUUGGGAGAGGGAUGCGGAAUUCCUGGUGUAGCGGUGAAAUGCGCAGAUAUCGGGAGGAACACCUGUGGCGAAGGCGGCCGCCUGGUUGGAUACUGACGCUGAGACGCGAAAGCGUGGGGAGCAAACAGG